CGAACGCUAGCGGCGUGCCUAACACAUGCAAGUCGAGCGAGAAAGCGGGGGCAACCCCGUAAGUAAAGCGGCGCACGGGUGAGUAACGCGUGGAUAAUCUACCUUCGAGUGUGGAACAACCUGCCGAAAGGCGGGCUAAUACCGCAUAAGACCACGGAGGGAAUCUUCCGGGGUUAAAGGCGGGGACCCGUAAGGGCCUGUCGCUUGAGGAUGAGUCCGCGUCCCAUCAGCUUGUUGGCGAGGUAACGGCUCACCAAGGCUAAGACGGGUAGCUGGUCUGAGAGGAUGAUCAGCCACACUGGCACUGAAACACGGGCCAGACUCCUACGGGAGGCAGCAGUGGGGAAUCUUGCGCAAUGGGCGAAAGCCUGACGCAGCGACGCCGCGUGAGGGAAGAAGGCUUUCGGGUCGUAAACCUCUGUCGUGGGGGAAGAAAGUUCCGGUGAUUAACACCUAUCGGGAUUGACGGUACCCCAGGAGGAAGCAUCGGCUAACUACGUGCCAGCAGCCGCGGUAAUACGUAGAUGCAAGCGUUGCUCGGAAUUACUGGGUGUAAAGCGCGCGCAGUGGCCUUGUAAGUCAGUGGUGAAAUCCCCCGGCUCAACCGGGGAAUUGCCUCUGAAACCGCAGGGCUUGAGUAUGGGGAGGAGGAAGGCGGAAUUCCUGGUGUAGCGGUGAAAUGCGUAGAUAUCAGGAGGAACAUCGGUGGCGAAGGCGGCCUUCUGGACCAAUACUGACACUGAGGCGCGAAAGCGUGGGUAGCAAACAGGAUUAGAUACCCUGGUAGUCCACGCCCUAAACGAUGGGCACUAGGUGUGGGGACCGUAUGGUUUCUGUGCCGAAGCUAACGCAUUAAGUGCCCCACCUGGGGAGUACGGCCGCAAGGUUGAAACUCAAAGGAAUUGACGGGGGCCCGCACAAGCGGUGGAGCAUGUGGUUUAAUUCGACGCAACGCGAAAAACCUUACCUGGGCUUGACAUCCGGAGAAUCCCCUGGAAACAGGGGAGUGCCCUUCGGGGAACUCCGAGACAGGUGCUGCAUGGCUGUCGUCAGCUCGUGCCGUGAGGUGUUGGGUUAAGUCCCGCAACGAGCGCAACCCUUAUCCUUAGUUGCCAGCGGGUUAAGCCGGGCACUCUAAGGAAACUGCCAGCGUUAAGCUGGAGGAAGGUGGGGAUGACGUCAAGUCAUCAUGGCCUUUAUGUCCAGGGCUACACACGUGCUACAAUGGUCGGUACAAAGGGUCGCCAACCCGCGAGGGGGAGCUAAUCCCAAAAAACCGGCCUCAGUUGGGAUCGCAGUCUGCAACUCGGCUGCGUGAACCUGGAAUCGCUAGUAAUCGCGCAUCACGCACGGCGCGGUGAAUACGUUCCCGGCGCCUUGUACACACC
rnacentral:rRNA from 1 species